rnacentral:lncRNA from 1 species
AAAACAACCAUUUUCUUUAUGGUAAAUUUAAAAUAAACAGCAUAUAACAAACAAAUAUAUUAUGCUCAUCAAAAAAUCUUAUUCACCUAACCAAGCUAGCUAAAUGAAUGGGAAUAAUACAUGUAUUUCAGCAUGUUAACUUACAUUUAAAGAGGUUCACUAGUAAAACAAUCUAAAAACAAAAUAAUAGGAACUCCUUCAAAAAUUUACAUGUUAGACUUCCGUAUUCAAUAAAGAGUCAUUUAGGAGCAUGAAAAGCCAUUUAAUACAGAUUUUAACUGUUUUUCAUUGAUAUUUCAAAGACAAUUGAAAC